rnacentral:rRNA from 1 species
AUACGGAGGGUGCGAGCGUUAAUCGGAAUUACUGGGCGUAAAGGGUCCGUAGGCGGUCUGCUUAGUCUGAUGUGAAAGCCCCGGGCUUAACCUGGGAAUGGCAUUGGAUACUGGCGGACUAGAGUCUGGUAGAGGGUGGUGGAAUUCCCGGUGUAGCGGUGAAAUGCGUAGAUAUCGGGAGGAGCACCAGUGGCGAAGGCGGCCACCUGGACCAAGACUGACGCUGAGGGACGAAAGCGUGGGGAGCAAACAGGAUUAGAUACCCUAGUAGUCC